CGCGGCGGGUGGAAACAUCCGACGUGAUGGUGCAGAAGUCAGCAGAGGCCAUAGUAGUGAACCGUAGCCCCACAAGGGUGAAGGGCAUGAAGGGC
rfam:Vitreoscilla filiformis strain ATCC 15551 chromosome, complete genome.